GGAAGCGUGGCAGAGUGGUCGAUUGCACCGGUCUUGAAAACCGGCAACGGGCAACCGUUCGCGAGUUCGAAUCUCGCCGCUUCCGCCA
rnacentral:tRNA from 1 species